AGAAAACCUGCAACAUUGUUGAGAGAGGCAUCGGGCAGCUGAAGCCACAUUUUCACAUGCUACACAGUGAAAUCCAAGUUGGUCCUCCACCCAAGGUCUGCCAAAUUGUAGAGGUUUGUGCAUUGCUGCACAACAUCUGCAAAGCAAGAAACAUCAUUCUUCCUGAGGAAGAAGAACAUCUAGCUGCAGCCGAGGAUGAAGGCAAUGAGGAGCGACCCCCAGCACAGAAAGUUCAAAGUCGCCAUGAAGGAAUCCUUUACAGGGAUGAAUUUGUUGUGCUUCACUUAAACAUUGCUGAGUGAUGAGACACCAGUGUCAUGACUGCUGAGAUUGGUGUUAAUCUCAUGUGGAUGAUCUCCUCCUCAUCCACAUAGACCAGUGAUGUACCAGGCAAGUCUGGCCCCUGUUGGUGCCACAUCACUGGUGCUGGAAGUGGUGUGGCAGGUGCCUCCUCCUCAACACCCACUGCCUCGGUCACCACUUCUCUCUGUUGGGCUGCCUCUGCCACUUCCCCAGCAUCAUCUGCUGCCUGAACACUGCUGGCAUCAUUAGUUCUAACUUCCGAAACUAAGCUGAUAAUGUUUUUGGUUUUAUUGCUAAGGACAAAAGUAACAGAAACCAGUAAAUCUAGCUAAGGGUACAAUGUGUUUGACUUAAAUCCUAUUCUGUUUGAAGGAAGCCCAUGUCUAAGAAACUGUAAAUACCUAAGACUCGUUAUCAUUAACACAUUCACCCACUACAACACCAUACUUAUGAAUGGGGAGAAGGGAUAGGAAUUAAGUUAACUUUAUUAGUUUUUUUUCUUUUCUUAUUGCUGUUUUAUCUGUUUGGUUAAGGAAUAAAAAAAAAAAAAAAAAAAAUUCUCAACACUAGAUAACAAAUUUAAUAUUGUGUAUAACUAAGUUGUAAACUAACUAGGAACAUGAGUAUUUUGGAUUGCAGACAUUUGAGACAACAUUAUGGCCUAAUAUUGCUAUAUCUACAAGUGGCUUAUCCUUUGUUAAGGAAGGUGCAUUCAAUGAUGCUUGCCUUAUUGGUACACCCAUGAAUAGAGACAUUCUUGGGGUCCAAAAUCUCAAAGAUUAACUCAUCGAGCUGGGAGAGAGGAGGGUUGGCAGGAGGUCCACCACCUGGAAAGUAUAAUAUAAUCUUAUUGCUAAUGAAUUGCAAAUACAAAUAAAUAAUUUAUAAAGUGUGUUUUCACAUAACAUAUGUAACUCAGAUGUGUGGUUGGAGUAAUAUUAUUUGUCAGAGGUAGACAUUGCAUCAUAAUUAGUGUGUGCAAUAAAUGCAUCCACUUCACA